rnacentral:rRNA from 1 species
AUUGAACGCUGGCGGCAGGCUUAACACAUGCAAGUCGAGCGGCAGCACAGUGUGUAGCAAUACACAUGGGUGGCGAGUGGCGGACGGGUGAGUAACGCGUAAGAAUCUGCCUUGAAGCGGGGGAUAACCCGAGGAAACUCGGGCUAAUACCGCAUAAUAUCGAGAGAUUAAAGCUAGGGCAACCUGGCACUUCAAGAGGAGCCUGCGUACGAUUAGCUAGUUGGUAGGGUAAAGGCCUACCAAGGCGAUGAUCGUUAACUGGUCUGAGAGGAUGAUCAGGCACACUGGAACUGAGACACGGUCCAGACUCCUACGGGAGGCAGCAGUGGGGAAUAUUGGACAAUGGGGGCAACCCUGAUCCAGCAAUGCCGCGUGUGUGAAGAAGGCCUUCGGGUUGUAAAGCACUUUUGGCAGGGAGGAAGGUAUGGAGUUUAAGAGACACCAUAUUUGACUGUACCUGCAGAAUAAGCACCGGCUAACUCUGUGCCAGCCGCCGCCGUAA